UAGGGAAUCUUGCACAAUGGGCGAAAGCCUGAUGCAGCCAUGCCGCGUGAGUGAUGAAGGCCUUAGGGUUGUAAAGCUCUUUCACCGGUGACGAUAAUGACGGUAGCCGGAGAAGAAGCCCCGGCUAACUUCGUGCCAGCAGCCGCGGUAAUACGAAGGGGGCUAGCGUUGUUCGGAAUUACUGGGCGUAAAGCGCGCGUAGGCGGAUGAUUAAGUUAGAGGUGAAAGCCCAGAGCUCAACUCUGGAAUUGCCUUUAAUACUGGUCAUCUUGAGAGUGGAAGAGGAGAGUGGAAUUCCUAGUGUAGAGGUGAAAUUCGUAGAUAUUCGGAGGAACACCAGUGGCGAAGGCGGCUCACUGGCUCGAUACUGACGCUGAGGUGCGAAAGUGUGGGGAGCAAACAGGAUUAGAUACCCGCGUAGUCC
rnacentral:rRNA from 1 species